UCACCUGUAGAAGAAAAUUGUUAAUUUGAUUUAAAUAUUUUUUAAUAAGGGAUCGAAGAUAAGACUUUAUUGUACAAGAUUCAAAAGAUGAACGACUACCUUGCAAUUCGAUUUAGAGCGCUAUGUAAUUUAAAAAAAAAUUAUAUAUAAAUUAUAAAAAAAAAUAUGUUUAAUUUAAAAAUUAUAAGUUACGCUGCUGUACUUGAAAAAUUUAUACGGAUCAUAAUAUCAAGAGUAAUUUUUAGAAAAUAAGCGACUGCAGCGAGUUCAUAAGCUUAUUUUUAAUAAAGGUAAUAUCGUGGCGAAUGGGACAAUCCAUAAAGAAGUUAUUAUUAAAUUUAUAUAUUUUGGAAAUUCCUUCCAAUUGAUAAAAGAUACACUUGAAGCGUUAUUUGUACAAGUAUCGGUAAAAUAUUUCUUAUCGAACUGGUUGGGCAUCCUUUUAAUCAAAGUUCGAAGACUUCAUGAUUUUCCAGUUAAACUAAUAGAGGUUUUCAAGUGUGAGUCAUAUUCUUUUACAAGAUAAUGAGGCGAAAUACAGGAACCGAAAACUCAAAACAUAAAUAUUCGUAUCGAUUGUAUUUAUAAGUAAACGAGACUGUCGAUACAGUUCACAGUAAUACAUAAAUCAAUUUUCAUGAUGAAAACAAUCGAAAAACUGUAAAAUAACAGAACUAUGCGGUGUAUUGAGAAAAAGAAGAAAACUUUGAGAAAAAGGAAUAAAGAGUGUUUUAAUCGAUGUUGCAUCUAAUAUUAAUAGCUUCGGUGUAAAAUAUAAUUUUAUACAGUCUUGUAGAAAUACUUAAUGAGCUAAAUUUGCACCACAACAACGUUAGUUAACGUAGUUAAGUUAGAACAAUGAAUGGAAAAUGUGUACACCACGAGGUGAAAGAAAACUUUAAAUGAAUAGAAAUUUCACUCCUACGAAUGUUGUCUUCGAAUUUCAGGUAAACGUAUUAUUACUGUAAUCUUAUAUCUCCGUUAUAUUAACGACAAUCUUUCAUCAUGAUACGAUACCUCUUCCUUUUUUAAGUUUUUAAAAUUAAUACAUAAUAUUUCCUUGUCAUUUCUUUAAUUAAUUUUUAGCCCAUUUUCAACAAACGUAAAUUACUUACACAUAAAGAAUUAAAUUUCCCUCUCGUAAAAGAAUUAAUUUAAUCUUUCUUUCAAUGUCAAUUAAAUAUUUCUACUUUUCUCAAUGAAUUAAGUAUCACGAAGCAUCCAAAUGUCUAACUUUUCUUUUUAACGUUCUAACGUAAUCUAUCAUCGUCUAUAUCAAAUCCAAUUUACGCAGAAAAACCUCUAAUAGUUUGUGCGUUAUAAGUUUUAUGUUUCAUCCUACAAACGGUUAGUCCAACUGUUUUCGUUAGAACCACCGAUCUAUCGAACAACCGCCAUACGGAAGUGUUGCGGCAACCACGGUUAGUCUACCGCUAACGGAGAGGGUUAAUCGUGGAAAGCGAGCGUGAAAUCGUUU
rnacentral:lncRNA from 1 species